CCUACGGGUGGCUGCAGUGGGGAAUAUUGCACAAUGGGCGCAAGCCUGAUGCAGCCAUGCCGCGUGUGUGAAGAAGGCCUUCGGGUUGUAAAGCACUUUCAGCGGGGAGGAGGGCGUUAAGGUUAAUAACCUUGGCGAUUGACGUUACCCGCAGAAGAAGCACCGGCUAACUCCGUGCCAGCAGCCGCGGUAAUACGGAGGGUGCAAGCGUUAAUCGGAAUUACUGGGCGUAAAGCGCACGCAGGCGGUCUGUCAAGUCGGAUGUGAAAUCCCCGGGCUCAACCUGGGAACUGCAUUCGAAACUGGCAGGCUAGAGUCUUGUAGAGGGGGGUAGAAUUCCAGGUGUAGCGGUGAAAUGCGUAGAGAUCUGGAGGAAUACCGGUGGCGAAGGCGGCCCCCUGGACAAAGACUGACGCUCAGGUGCGAAAGCGUGGGGAGCAAACAGGAUUAGAUACCCGUGUAGUC
rnacentral:rRNA from 1 species